rnacentral:rRNA from 1 species
CCUACGGGUGGCAGCAGUGAGGAAUAUUGGUCAAUGGGCGCUAGCCUGAACCAGCCAAGUAGCGUGAAGGAUGACUGCCCUAUGGGUUGUAAACUUCUUUUAUAUGGGAAUAAAGUGCAGUAUGUGUGCUGCUUUGCAUGUACCUUAUGAAUAAGGAUCGGCUAACUCCGUGCCAGCAGCCGCGGUAAUACGGAGGAUCCGAGCGUUAUCCGGAUUUAUUGGGUUUAAAGGGAGCGUAGAUGGGUAGUCAAGCCAGGAGUGAAAGUCUGGGGCUCAACCCCGGAACUGCAAUUGGUACUGGCAGGCUUGAGUGCAGUAGAGGGAGGCGGAAUUCGUGGUGUAGCGGUGAAAUGCGUAGAUAUCACGAAGAACACCGAUGGCGAAGGCGGCCUACUAGACUGCCACUGACGUUGAGGCUCGAAAGUGUGGGGAGCAAACAGGAUUAGAUACCCGUGUAGUC